AUCAGGACCACGGCUGAGUGGCAGAGCAUCUGCCUUGCAUGCAGAAGGUCCCGGGUUCGAGUCCUGACAUCUCCUGGUA